UUUCAAGCGUUUCACAUCCUUCACAUCUCACACUUAGAAGCAUCUGGGAGGACAGAGAAGGGCUGAGGAUGAGGGUGAGGAGACCUCCUGCUGCACCUCCCUCCCAUCUGGUAUCCAGAAGAAUGAACUCAAAGGGCUUGGCCAGCUGGCUCUGAAUUCUGACCUCCCUGCGAAAGCAUAGAAGGUUACUUACACUGUUUCAGCUGCUCCAGAAAGAGCUCUACCAGGGGGAUGGGGAUGAGGGUUGUGUGCUGUUAUCUGUACAACCUUGGGGGCAUGAACCCACUGAUCUGAAGAAGAUUUGUCCCCAACAGAAGAGGCCCUCUCUCCGAGGCACCUCUGAGGCCCCAGAGGAGAAGGCGGGCUGAGGAGCUGAGAAAGAUGCACCCCCUUCUCUCCCCAGAGGUGGGAGGGAGACUCUGUCCCUGACCCCCUUCGACUCUUCCCAAGUGGACAGGGCUGGCCUGUCCAGACCCUGGGCCCCUCCACCUGAAAAGGAGAAGCCUGGGGAGGAGCUGGGCAAGUUGCUAAGAGAAGCUGCCUGGAGAAUUCCACCUCUGCCUGCCUCGGGGUGUCCAGGCUUCUGGAACACGGGGUGUCCUGUGAGACUCUUGGUGUUCAUGUUCCUGCCCAGCACUGCCUGGCUUCCUACAAAGGCCUCCUCUCCCAGCUCAGGGCCUUGCCCUGGCCCUGUGCCUGCCUUGUCCCCGUCCUUCUGCAGUCUGGUGAAAAAGCUCAUCCUAUUUUCACUUACACUGAUCCUUGGCCUGGAAUGCACCCUCCUCCCUGCCUGGCCUCAGGCCAGCCCCUCCUCCAAAGCCCCCUGUGUCCUCUUGCCUCAGUGCCCUGCUUCUACUGCACUUGGCUGUGACCAUUUCCUACCACCCCCACCACGCGACAAAGUGAAUCCCCUUUGCGCUCAACUCACACCUCUCCUAAUGGCACCACUUUUGGUCUCAGGUGUAGGUAUUUGGUUCCUGUCCUGAGUUCUCCCCUAAACUGAGACCCUUGAGGUAGAGGGGCCAUCUCUGUGUCUCUCCCCAGUUAGGACCUGGCCCAGAGUAGGUGCUCAGUGGUGUGUGCGGAGGGAACGCUGCUGGGCACAGGUUAACCCAUCUCCCCACUGCCCCCUGAGUAAGAGGAGUUUGCUCAUGGUAACAUGGUGGUGGGUCCCCAGAACUAUCAGGA